rfam:Camelus ferus unplaced genomic scaffold scaffold369, whole genome shotgun sequence.
GAGGGUAUAGCUCAGUAGUAGAGAGCAUGCUUAGCAUACAUGAGGUCCUGGAUUCAAUCCCCAGUACCUCCA